rnacentral:lncRNA from 1 species
AAAAAUAUGUACAGGUAUCACGUAUGUGUGAGUUGCAUGAUGAGGGGAAAAGCAUGGCUCUUCGUGAAUCUCAAAGGAUGUACAUUGUUAGCCACCGAUAUUCAUCGGAUCACAUAAAGAUUAGAUUGGUUGUACAUACUCAAAUGAUAAUGCAAAAUAUUGAACGACCAACAACAGCCAUAUAUAUGAUUUUGGAACUUACAGUGACAUGCAUCUUGUUAGCUUGAUCUUAUAAUGUAAGACAAAAAGGAAAAAAAGAAAAGAAAAAAAAGGGAAUUAGGACCACAUCCAACACAGCACACAACACUCAAGACAGCUUUACUGCAUCUGCAUGUUCAAUUCUCAGUUCGUAGCAGCUGAAAACCCGGGGCUGGAAUGACAGAGCAAGUUUAAGAUGAUUAAGUAUAUUAAUCAGGCUAAUUAUGUUUUUGGUAAAUUUUGAAAUAAUAAAUAAAUCCCAAAAAAGAAAACUGUGUGAUGAACCUGAACAGUGGGCUUGGGCCAAACUAUGUGAUAACAUAUUGGCUUGUCUCUUUGCAUGGACAAACUGACACUGGCUAGCUAGAAGAAGAGAUGGAAACAAGCGUAGCUAUCUCGACUUACCCCACGGCGAGGGCUCAAUUCUAAUAAUCUCAACACUGGCUAGAAAUGAAUCACUCUCAAGUCCCACCUACAGCAUAUGGAGAGGGUUAUUCAUACGUGGAAAUACAUACUUCAUAGGACAACCAAUAUGCUCAUCUAGGAGCUGUUAUUUAGAGAAAUUUUUAAUCUGGUUUUUUAAAUAUAAUGAUGUGAUUAAAAUAUGAAAUUAAUUAAGUAAUCAAAUUGCUUGAUUUUUCUUUUUAAUUUAGAUGUUUAGAUAUUCUUUGAAUUUAAAUUGGGAUUAUUAUAGUUAACUAAGCCAUUGGUAUAAUGAUAAACAACUUGGAUAAUUCAAUUGAAUUACAAUAUUUGGCAAGGAAAAGUUUGCAGAGAAAGUGCAAAAUUACAUGCUUUCAUGAUGCAAAAUGUAUAGUUACAGAAUUUCAGGAUGAAUACGACCAAAAGAAAAACUUUCAAGAUAUAUUCAUAAUCAGUAAUAAAUGAAUCCAGCAUUUGUACAUAUAUAGGUGAAAUGAGAAUGGAACUGUGAUAUUUGCUAAAGUGUGUUGGUGCCCAAUUGAAUGAAUCCAUGUUGCAAGACAAUGGGCAGGGAGGCAUGUUAUUGCUGAAAAGAAAGGAAUCGUCGAUACGAAAGAAUAUACUAAAGUAAUUUGUAAAGCAACUUUUUGGGCAGUGGUUUUAUUAAACGGAAAAGUAGGGGGGCCCGCAUCAGUGAGUGAGUGAGUCACCUCACCUGAAACCUAAAUCAACCUGGUGGGGACCAGCCAGGCAGGGCAAUCAUCGUUG